UGCAGUCGAACGGUAGCACAGAGAGCUUGCUCUUGGGUGACGAGUGGCGGACGGGUGAGUAAUGUCUGGGAAACUGCCUGAUGGAGGGGGAUAACUACUGGAAACGGUAGCUAAUACCGCAUAACGUCGCAAGACCAAAGAGGGGGACCUUCGGGCCUCUUGCCAUCAGAUGUGCCCAGAUGGGAUUAGCUAGUUGGUGAGGUAAUGGCUCACCAAGGCGACGAUCCCUAGCUGGUCUGAGAGGAUGACCAGCCACACUGGAACUGAGACACGGUCCAGACUCCUACGGGAGGCAGCAGUGGGGAAUAUUGCACAAUGGGCGCAAGCCUGAUGCAGCCAUGCCGCGUGUGUGAAGAAGGCCUUCGGGUUGUAAAGCACUUUCAGCGGGGAGGAAGGCGGUGAGGUUAAUAACCUCAUUGAUUGACGUUACCCGCAGAAGAAGCACCGGCUAACUCCGUGCCAGCAGCCGCGGUAAUACGGAGGGUGCAAGCGUUAAUCGGAAUUACUGGGCGUAAAGCGCACGCAGGCGGUCUGUCAAGUCGGAUGUGAAAUCCCCGGGCUCAACCUGGGAACUGCAUUCGAAACUGGCAGGCUGGAGUCUUGUAGAGGG
rnacentral:rRNA from 1 species